rnacentral:rRNA from 1 species
UGAGGAAUAUUGGUCAAUGGACGAGAGUCUGAACCAGCCAAGUAGCGUGCAGGAUGACGGCCCUCCGGGUUGUAAACUGCUUUUAGUUGGGAAUAAAAGGGAUGACGUGUCAUCCGUUGUAUGUACCAUCAGAAAAAGGACCGGCUAAUUCCGUGCCAGCAGCCGCGGUAAUACGGAAGGUCCGGGCGUUAUCCGGAUUUAUUGGGUUUAAAGGGAGCGUAGGCGGAGACAUAAGUCAGCGGUAAAAUCGUGCGGCUCAACCGUACCUCGCCGUUGAUACUGUGUCUCUUGAGUGCAUGCAGGGAUGCUGGAAUUCGUCGUGUAGCGGUGAAAUGCUUAGAUAUGACGAAGAACUCCGAUCGCGAAGGCAGGUGUCCGGAAUGCAACUGACGCUGAGGCUCGAAAGUGC